ACAACGACUCUCGGCAACGGAUAUCUCGGCUCUCGCAUCGAUGAAGAACGCAGCGAAAUGCGAUACUUGGUGUGAAUUGCAGAAUCCCGUGAACCAUCGAGUCUUUGAACGCAAGUUGCGCCCAAAGCCUUCGGGCCGAGGGCACGUCUGCCUGGGUGUCACGC
rnacentral:rRNA from 1 species